rnacentral:lncRNA from 1 species
GCCCCGCCCCCGCCCAGGCCCCGCCCCCAUGGCUCCGCGUGGGCGGUGCUCGCGCCAGCCGGCCCUUCCCUGCUACUGGCUCCCGGCCAGCUGGGCGGGUCCCGGGCGAAACUUGCCCUUGCUCUGGGCCACCCCAGGAACCGGCCCACGGGUCCCCGGCCUCUGCCCCGCCCCAUUCCGGCUUGGCCCCGCCUCCGUUUCUUAGGGGUAGGUUCUGUUGCUGUGGGAAGGGGGCGGAGAGAAGGAAACCUUAUUUCAGCCGUGCGCUAGAUUAGACACAGCUAGAAUGUCUCCAUUGUGACGGGGGCUGAGGGACAAGGGGGUGCGGUCUCCUCGCUCUCGGUUCGGUGUGGCCAGCCAGCCCAGAGAGCCAUGGAGCUAAUGACCUCAGAGCAAAACAGGCGCUUGGGAGCCGCUGGGUAUGAGGCGCCAGGGGGAGACAGAGGCCAGGCUAAGCCCUUGCCUAAGAAGAGUAAAAGCACACUCACUGGAAGACCAGGACAGAGCCCAAUGCCUGGUUGGCUGCCCGUUCUUCCUAACUUCUCCCCUCUGGGAGAGGGUGGUACUGACCUGAUGCCACAAGAGCUCUGUCUCUAAACCUCCUAUCAGAAAGUUGAUCGCUAGGUAUCCACAGACACCACCCAUCCACACAUCUCAAAUGGGGACAACGCCGUUGUGGCCCUCAAGCAAGUUGGAAGUAGCCAUCAGGGACUACGGCACCCAGUUCACGGCUGGAACUUUUCUGGGCUCUGUCGGCCAGGUGCUUCCUGACCACAUACCACUUUGUUCCCCAGGCUAAACUGUGUCCCCAGAAGGGAUGACUUUCUUGGCAGCUUCCAAAUAAAGAUCCCACAGUGGUCCUUCAGGUUGGUAGACUUACUAUGCCUGCUUUGUUACACCUGAGCUUUAGGCAGAGAGAGACAGAGGAAAAGAAGUCACAGGAGAGAAAAAAAACAGACCCCAAGGCAAAUAGAGCAGCAAAAGAAGACGGGGACAAAGAACAGGCUGCUUCUAUAGGUUUUCCCCUGCUAUUUGAGAAAAACUGGAACCAACUCUCAGAUAAAUAACAGCAGCAGCAAGCCAGCAACUGAAGAAACAAAUAUAACUCCUGGUUGUUUUUAUUAUUCAGUGUUUCUGGGACAGUUUACUUACCACUUCUUCGUGUCACCCAGCUCCCUAUUCCCUGCCCUUUCUAGCACCCACCAUGGUGUGGCUGCAAGCUGUCCGCAAAGCUAAGCCAAGAGACCCCCCCAGCCCCAGCACCAGAUGAUCAGCAGGGAGAAUAACAGCUCCCUGGGGCUCCAGAACAGCCCCCAGCCAUGGCCUAAUCCUAAGGCUCCUCCUCCCUGAACCUCUCACCUCCUAUUCCUGGCACCAUUAUGCCUCCUCCAUCCUCAGACUGCCCCAGAACCUGGUGAGGUCAUCACCUCUACUCAUCCCUGAGGCAGCGGAAAGUGAGAGAGAAAAGGGGAUGGGGUAUGAAGAAGCAGACUUGUGGGAUGUUUUUCUCUGUGAAGAGUGAGACUCUGCUUAGUGGCUGGCCCUGCUGGGGGAGUGUGAAGCUUGAACCAAGGAGGGGGACUGGACAGCCUCAAGACAGGCCCCUUUAUCUCAGGCCACAGUGGUGGCUCAGGGCCCAGAACUGGUCAUCUUCUGCCUUGUCUCUCCCCUUCACAUCACCCUAAACCCAAAGGCCUCUUAAACUAAGAGGAAAGUCCCUUCAAAUUCACAGAACACCACUUCCUCUCAUUUGUCUAAUACAUUCGCAUCCAAAACA